rnacentral:rRNA from 1 species
GACGAACGCUGGCGGCGUGCCUAAUACAUGCAAGUCGAGCGGAGUUACUUUGAAAGCUUGCUUUCAAAGUAACUUAGCGGCGGACGGGUGAGUAACACGUAGGCAACCUGCCCCUUAGACUGGGAUAACUACCGGAAACGGUAGCUAAUACCGGAUAAUUUCUUUUUUCUCCUGAAGAAAGAAUGAAAGACGGAGCAAUCUGUCACUGAGGGAUGGGCCUGCGGCGCAUUAGCUAGUUGGUGGGGUAACGGCCCACCAAGGCGACGAUGCGUAGCCGACCUGAGAGGGUGAACGGCCACACUGGGACUGAGACACGGCCCAGACUCCUACGGGAGGCAGCAGUAGGGAAUCUUCCGCAAUGGACGAAAGUCUGACGGAGCAACGCCGCGUGAGUGAUGAAGGUUUUCGGAUCGUAAAGCUCUGUUGCCAGGGAAGAACGUCCGGUAGAGUAACUGCUAUCGGAGUGACGGUACCUGAGAAGAAAGCCCCGGCUAACUACGUGCCAGCAGCCGCGGUAAUACGUAGGGGGCAAGCGUUGUCCGGAAUUAUUGGGCGUAAAGCGCGCGCAGGCGGUCAUUUAAGUCUGGUGUUUAAACCUUGGGCUCAACCUGAGGUCGCACUGGAAACUGGGUGACUUGAGUACAGAA